rnacentral:rRNA from 1 species
GAUGAACGCUGGCGGCGUGCCUAAUACAUGCAAGUCGAGCGAACAGACGAGGAGCUUGCUCCUCUGACGUUAGCGGCUGACGGGUGAGUAACACGUUUAUAACCUACCUAUAUGACUGGUAUAACUUCGGGAAACCGGAGCUAAUACCGGAUAAUAUAUUUAACCGCAUGGUUCAAUAGUGAAAGACGGUUUUGCUGUCACUUAUAGAUGUAUCCGCGCCGCAUUAGCUAGUUGGUAAGGUAACGGCUUACCAAGGCAACGAUGCGUAGCCGACCUGAGAGGGUGAUCGGCCACACUGGAACUGAGACACGGUCCAGACUCCUACGGGAGGCAGCAGUAGGGAAUCUUCCGCAAUGGGCGAAAGCUUGACGGAGCAACGCCGCGUGAGUGAUGAAGGUCUUCGGAUCGUAAAACUCUGUUAUUAGGGAAGAACAAAUGUGUAAGUAACUAUGCACGUCUUGACGGUACCUAAUCAGAAAGCCACGGCUAACUACGUG